rnacentral:piRNA from 1 species
ACAGAGAAGUGUCACUGUGGACU